AGUGAACGCUGGCGGUAGGCCUAACACAUGCAAGUCGAACGGCAGCACAGUAAGAGCUUGCUCUUACGGGUGGCGAGUGACGGACGGGUGAGGAGUACAUCGGAUUCUACUUUUUCGUGGGGGAUAACGUGGGGAAAAUUCCGCUACCACAUAAUAAGAUUUACGAGUAAAAGCAGGGGUUCUUCAGACCUUGCCAGCAUGAAUAGGCGGAUGUGGGUUUAGCUAGUUGGGGGGGGAAAGGCCCACCAAGGCGAGGAUCCGUAGCUGGUCUGAGAGGAUGAUCGGCCACACGGGAACGAGGACACGGCCCAGACUCCUACGGGAGGCAGCAGUGGGGAAUAUUGGACAAUGGGGGAAAGCCGGAUCCAGCCAGACCGCGUGGGUGAAGAAGGCCUUCGGGUUGUAAAGCCCUUUUGUUGGGAAAGAAAAGCAGCAGGUUAAUACCCCGCUGUUCUGACGGUACCCAAAGAAUAAGCACCGGCUAACUUCGUG
rnacentral:rRNA from 1 species